rnacentral:rRNA from 1 species
UUGGAAGAACGCUGGCGGCGCGCUUAACACAUGCAAGUCGAACGUGAAGCCCGGGCUUGCCCGGGUGGAAAGUGGCGAACGGGUGCGUAACACGUGAGCAACCUGCCCCGAAGACCGGGAUAACACCGGGAAACCGGUGCUAAUACCGGAUGCCCUCAUCAUGUCGCAUGGCGAGAUGAGGAAAUGGAUUCCGCUUCGGGAUGGGCUCGCGGCCUAUCAGCUUGUUGGUGGGGUAACGGCCUACCAAGGCAACGACGGGUAGCUGGUCUGAGAGGAUGUCCAGCCACACUGGGACUGAGACACGGCCCAGACUCCUACGGGAGGCAGCAGUGGGGAAUCUUGCGCAAUGGGCGAAAGCCUGACGCAGCGACGCCGCGUGCGGGAUGAAGGCCUUCGGGUUGUAAACCGCUUUCAGCAGGGACGAUCGUGACGGUACCUGUAGAAGAAGCCCCGGCCAACUACGUGCCAGCAGCCGCGGUAAUACGUAGGGGGCGAGCGUUGUCCGGAUUUAUUGGGCGUAAAGAGCUCGUAGGCGGUUUGGUGAGUCAGGUGUGAAAUCUCCACGCUCAACGUGGAGGGGCCACCUGAUACUGCCAUGACUGGAGUCCGGUAGAGGAAGUGUGGAAUUCCCGUGUAACCGGUGAAAUGCGCAGAUUUCGGGAGGAACACCCGUA